GAGUUUGAUCCUGGCUCAGGAUGAACGCUGACAGAAUGCUUAACACAUGCAAGUCGAUGGGGAAGUGGUGCUUGCACCAUGGUAACCAUGGCGGACGGGUGAGUAACGCGUAAGGGACUUACCUGCGGGACUGGGAUAACAGUAGGAAACUGCUGAUAAGACCGGAUAAAGUCAUGGAGCUGCAUGGUUCUAUGAUGAAAGGAGACGCCUGCGGAGAGCCUUGCGUCCUAUUAGCUAGUUGGAGGGGUAAUGGCCCACCAAGGCGAAGAUAGGUAGCCGGCCUGAGAGGGUGGACGGCCACAAGGGGACUGAGAUACGGCCCUUACUCCUACGGGAGGCAGCAGUGGGGAAUAUUGGACAAUGGGGGCAACCCUGAUCCAGCAAUUCUGUGUGCACGAAGACGGUUUUCGGAUUGUAAAGUGCUUUCAGCAGGGAAGAAGGAAGUGACGGUACCUGCAGAAGAAGCGACGGCUAAAUACGUGCCAGCAGCCGCGGUAAUACGUAUGUCGCGAGCGUUAUCCGGAAUUAUUGGGCAUAAAGGGCAUCUAGGCGGCCUAACAAGUCAGGGGUGAAAACCUGCGGCUCAACCGCAGGCUUGCCUUUGAAACUGUAAGGCUGGAGUAUCGGAGAGGUGGACGGAACUGCACGAGUAGAGGUGAAAUUCGUAGAUAUGUGCAGGAAUGCCGAUGAUGAAGAUAGUUCACUGGACGAUAACUGACGCUGAAGUGCGAAAGCCGGGGGAGCAAACAGGAUUAGAUACCCUGGUAGUCCCGGCCGUAAACGAUGAUUACUGGGUGUGGGCAGGAAGACUGUCUGUGCCGAAGCAAAUGCGAUAAGUAAUCCGCCUGGGGAGUACGGCCGCAAGGCUGAAACUCAAAGGAAUUGACGGGGACCCGCACAAGCGGUGGAGCAUGU
rnacentral:rRNA from 1 species